rnacentral:misc_RNA from 1 species
UGGAUCCACGCUUGGACUAUCACGGAUGGGAUAAUUACACAGCUUCGAGAAUAUUUCAAUACCUCCCUAACUGUGACUCGUCUCGGAGAUUCAACUGACUCUCCGUCGUCCUCCGCCGCAUCGGAGAUUUCCUCUGCCUCCUCGUUGCAUCAUUGCCCUUCCGUUUGGGAAAGUACUCUCUCCAAUCAGGUCGGAAAAUCGGUGCCUGGGCUCGUCUUGGCCAUUUAAUCAAAUCUUUCUGACUCUGAUUCUGAUUCACUACAGCCGAUUGUAUUGUAACUAAAUAAACAGAGAGAUGUGAGAAACUUGUGAGUGGAUGUGUGCUGGUUUGGUUUGGUUUGGUUUGUUGUGCUUAUUUACCGUUUUGUGUGAGGGUUUGAUACUGUGUGUGGUAGAGUUGGGUGAAUACCAUGGAGAUGAGAAGCCAUUGGUCAAUUCCCGAUGUGUUUGCACUGUUUUUAAUAAGGACAUGUUCCAAUGUUUGUGUUAA